rnacentral:sRNA from 1 species
UGUCAAAAUGUACGUGUACAUCAAUUGCUCCGGCAGUGGCGAUUAACCCUUCGGCAUCCCGAACCGUAGUGCCCGCACCCACAAUCAUAUUAGGAUCUACUCCAUCCAUAAUAUCCGGGUUACCGGCCUUACCAACACCAGCGAUUUUGCCAUCUUUUAUACCAAUAUCAGCUUUCACAAUUCCGAUCACUGCAUCGAUGACCGCGACGUUGCAGAUCAACAUAUCAAGGGAGCCACCCGCACUCGUGAUACCGGCUUUCAUGCCCAUUCCAUCGC